rnacentral:lncRNA from 10 species
AAAGAGGAUGAAGGCAGCCGCGUGAUAGAUAGGCGCGAGAUUAAAUGGGAUCUUUAUGACUUCUGCAGCCAUCAGUUCUGACUGUGUGAUAAGACGCGUCGACUAGGGCCCUGAUUUGCUCUUUAUUGGAGCCAAUAUUAGCAUGCUCUCACCAGUGCACGGGCCGAUCAAACCCACUUAAGGUGGACUCACCGCAUAGGCCCAGCUGCAGAUGCUGCUGGGAUGGCCAGGAGGGAGGCUGCAGCCCACAGCCGGGCAGGUGGGGGGUGUGGAAUUCUCACACUGCCCUGGGGCCACUUCACCCCGGGUGGCUUGCAGGGGGUCCCGGGGGUGAGGUGCCCCUGGUGACCCCAGGCUCAGUGGACUGUCCUGUAUGCCUGGGUCUCAGGGUGGCCCUCUCCCUUCCCACCCCUUAUCAGGCCUCCAAGAAUGAUGGCUCUCCCAACCCAUGCUGGGGACCCAGCAGCCUCCUCAUUCUGCCCCCAGCUCCUGCUCUCUGGCAAGGAGGGAGAUUGGCUUGUUUAGGACCCCAGGGGUGCCAGGCCAUUUCCUGGGUGGGGGCAGUGUCCAGCACCUUCCUCUGCCACUCAGUAUCAUGGAGACCCCUCCCUCCCCCUGCUGGACAGCCGCCACCUGUACUCAGCUUCGGGCAAGGCGCUCCCCGUCCUGCCUCUCUGUCUUCCUGCCAUACCUUCAGCAACCCCCUUGACAGCCCCCCUCCCAGGCCACCCCUCUGUCAGGGGCACUGCCUGUGCCUGUCACUGCCUUUCUUUCCCCUGGUGUGGCCCCUGCCAGACCGCAGCCAUCUCCCCUGUCAAAGUCUCCUAAAACUCAGACUGGAUGAUCUGCAUCCAGUCUGCACCUUGGAUGAUGCCAAGUGGAGAUUGGAUGAUGCCAACUCGGGCACAGGGUGGGAUGGGGUAAGGUUGGGGGCCAGAGAGACUUGGGGUGUGGUGGAGCCCUGGACCUGAGUCCACACAGCAUCCCAUCCUGUGGCUGCGCUUUCUCCUGAAGGGGCUGCCAGCCCUCCUCAGGGACUGCAAGCACAGCUGGGUAUGUCCCAUGCAGUCAGCCCUGCCGGGUGGCCCCCAGCUGCCUCUUCCCCCAGCAGGGCAUGGGCAGGCAGUGGGCACUCAGGGGGUAGCUGGCUUGCUGCACCCUGUCCUCUUGGUGGGCGGAUGGGGCCCCUUCACUGCGUGGGGACUGGACUGCUGUCACGUGCCUUUAGAUGUGCAGGUUGCUUCUGUGGCCACCUUCUGUGAAGGAGGCCUGUCACUCAUCCACCUGGCACAUUUUUAACCUCAAUGUCAUGUGUUGACACCGAGGGAGGCAGAGACCAUGAAAGCUUGCCAUAGCCGAGGGGUUCGGGCAGCCGGUCCGUCCGGGGAGGCCCAGCAGCCUGGCACACAGGGCGUGGGCCCUCCUGCCAGAGACAAGCUGAGCCUGCCGCCCGCUGACCACCUGCCGUCCAGCCAGCCCCACCCACCGGCUCCAGGCCCACCUCCUGCACCUGUCCAGGCCUCGCCUGUCUCAGGGGUGCCCGUGUGUGCAAGGCCCCACAGGAGGGGCUGGGACAGAGUGGGGCUGGGGGUCCCUUGAAAUGAUCCCUUGGCUGAGGGCCACAGAGGAAGAGAGGCGUGGGGGCACCAGAGACCAUCUGUGUUUUAAAAGAAUGUCUUCCAAUCUUCCUCACAGAGGAAUCUGAAGAAACGUGCUGGAUGUCCCCAGAGAAGGAGCUGAACCAUUUGAGUGGGGGCUUCACUGACUCUCCCCACACACAGGGCACCGGGGGAGAGCAGUCACAUGACCGGCAGGCGGGGGUUUUGACCCUGGUGGGAGGGGAUGAGGAGGGCACCAGUCCGGCCCUGAGACAACCCCCAAGACCAGCCCUGACUGGGACACUCUGCAGGAUGUCAAGCAGUGCCCCCAAAAGCUGUCAAGGCCGUCCUAGACCAGCGGGGCCUCAGGAGAUGGUGCAGAGUCCUGGACCAGACAAACGGCACUGGGAAAGCAGGAGCCCAAAGGAAGGCUGGAAUUCAGGGAAGAGCCACGUGCCAGGCUGUGACGAAGGCGACAAGAUGAAACAGUAGGGGGGCGGGGGAGGCAUCCAAACUCUAUGUGCUGUCUUUGCACUACUCUGUAAAUCUAACAUUAUUCGGAAGUGAAAGUUAAAAAUCAC